GGGAGGGGUGGGGGGUUGCAGAGGCGAGGAGCGGUGGCAUCCGUUGCAUGAUGCAAAGAGGAUGGGUUUCAGAAGUUGCGACUUGCAUUGGCAGCAGCCUUUGGCGCCCAGGCCACCGGCUUUUCCUCGCCCCGCAGAAAGGGCUCGGAAUGUUUUCCAAAUCCUGGCGGGGCUCCGCCGCGCGGCGCGACGCGGGACGCUGGACCUGCUCCCCGCGCGCGCACGGCGCGUGGCGCUGGCAGACAAUGACCGCGGAGACCAUUUGAAAAAGAGUGGGAGCAGAGGAAAAGGCGCCUCUGCCGCGGCGGAGGGCUUACAAUCACCCACGGCGUGUGGAUGACCAGCGACUUCGUCGGCUCUCCUAUUGUUCAGCCUGGCUCGGGUGUUAGUAUGAGCCUUAGUGAACAUGUAUUACAGAUGGAUGUCCUUUUCAUUCUUAAAAUUGCGUUGACAAUUACCCAGGAUUUCCAUCUAGGUGAGGAUGCAGAAGUGAUGCCGGUGUCAACAUAGGAAACAGGCUCCUCUUUUUUGUGUCCUUUCUCUGGGUUCUUUGAUGUGAUUUGUAGGACUUGUGUAUGAACGGCAUAACCCUGUGGUUGACAAACCUGGAUCACCCGUGAAGUCUCAGAUGUACACAAUCCCCAGGCACCAUUCCAGAAUCAGAGCAGGAGAAUACAGGUAUCUUUCUUUCCUGGUCCCCUCCCUUUAAAAUUGAUUGUGUGAGGUAUUGUGGGGUUUUGGUUUUGUUUGGUUUUUAGCAAAAAAAAAAAAAAAAAAAUGCACAACCAAAAAAAAAAAAAAAAGUCACACUAGAAAAACAGGAAUCUGGGAUUAGGGAAGGUGAUGGCAACAGAGGUGAUUAGAACUCUGUGAAGAUGCAUGGGUCAUGCUGAGGAGUUCGGUUUUUAGGCCGCAGUCAGCAGAUUUUGUCAGAUUUGUAUUUUACAGGUUUAGUUUAUAAAAAGCCUGUGUCACAUCUGGGAGGAUGCCCUCUCCCGGAGGGAAAAAUGGGGCCACAUCCCUAAUCAGGAGGUAAUGGUACUUAGUAGUCAACAUGGAGUCCCGGGUAUGUGAACUGAAGCAGCAGGAAUGCAGAAAAGGGAGGGGAUUUGAAGGGAUUUCAUGUGUAGUUGGAGGAUGGAGCAUAAGAUGACCCUUAGAUUUCUAUUUUUCGAAGACUGGGUGGUUAUUGAUGCUACUAAUUGAAACAGGAACUGUUGGAAGGCAAACAAGUUUUGGAGUGAGUUCAGCUUUGGAAAUGUUGUUUCAGGUGUCUGCUAGAUAAUCUACCAGUGGUUGGCAAACUGCGGCUCGCGAGCCACAUGCGGCUCUUUGGCCCCUUGAAUGUGGCUCUUCCACAAAAUACCACGUGCGGGCAGGCACGUACAGUGCGAUUGAAACUUCGUGGCCCAUGCUCAGGAGUUGGUAUUUUGUGGAAGAGCCACACUCAAGGGGCCAAAGAGCCGCAUGUGGCUCGAGAGCCGCAGUUUGCCUUGGCAAUUGGUAAAACAAGGCUUGACUCUCGGGGUGGGGGGUGUGCUCUGUAUUUGAGAUGCAAAUGUAGGUACCAUCAGCAUGUAAAUGUAUUUGAUGCCUGGAAAAAGGUGAGAUUAACCAGUGGAGAGUUGGGGGAGGGGAGACUGUGAGAGACCUUGGAUGGAACCCAGCGGAGAUUUCACAAAUGGAAUAGCUGGAUGAGCAGGAAGCUGGUCCCUGCUGAGUCAGAGGCUGGCAUCCUCAGAACAUGCUCAUUCCUGCGAGCUUCUCUCCAUCCUUGCCCCAGUCAGCCUUCAGGCCAACUGGACUUUUCUGGAAGCUCAAAAAUCUUUAGGGGAGACAGACUUCCUGGCCAGUGGAGCAGCCCUGAAUACCAGAAAGGCGGUGGAUUGAAGUGGGAUGCUGUCAGUGGGCUGGAAACGGUUCCCAAGCUUCAGGUGAACUCAGAGGUGGACCAGGCAUCCAUAGUGUCAACAGCCUCUGCCACAGCACCCAGCUGUAAGCAGCCAAGCCAGGAUUUAAACUGGGCUGCGUCUACUUGGAGCCCACGUGCCUAACCCAGAGGACUUUCCUGCAACACCCGAGGCCAUUCAGUGUCCCUCUUCUUUGUGAAAUUCUCUGGGUUUGAUGUUAGCUCUUCUCUCAUUCUCCCUCAAACCUUUUUGGCUACAUCUUAUUCAGUUUUGAUAUGUCCUCUUUCAGUGUCUGACUCCUAUCCAUACACCCCAGCACUGAUGUUCAUCAGGUUGUCUUUGACUUUCUCAUACUCUUCCUUCUGGAGCCAUGCUGUCCAAUAAAUACGGUAAGCCACCCCCACAAGUGGCUAUCAAAUGCUUAGAAUGUCAACUGAGAUGUUCUCUCAAUGGAAAA